CCCAGCACAAGACGUCAUUUAGACGUUGUUUUUUGGGCUAAAUCACGUCGGCCCGUCAUGACCUUCAUUUAGUCCAAAAAAAGACGUUGAAAACUGGUCUUUGUUUGGUCCGUCUAAUUCAGUCCAAAUUUAGCCUAAAAUUAGACGUCUUUUUCGGACCACUUUUCAACGUGUCUCCAUUCAAUAAUAAUCCUGACAAAAUAUGCAUGAAUGUAUAAAUACUGAGCACAUUGAACGAUAAUGAAACAUAUGCUUUGUUUAAAGUCUAUUAAUAUUUCUGUUUAUUUUAAUUAAAUAAAUAUGUUAAAUGUGCUGUAAACAGGUCAUUUCGGUCCUGUACAGCACUGAUAGAAGCACUUCAUUUUCAUCUUUUAACAAAUAUCUUUAUUUUCUUUUAAUAUGAUAUAAUUGGCAGAGGCGCGUGUCCGUCUCAUGCUUUGUGAUCACGUGAUUAUUCAAAGGGGAGAUGCUCGUUCUGGAUUUACUGAUUUUCUCCUCAGACAAGUGUUUCUGUUUUGUGGUCGAUUCUGGGGUAAGUUUCCUUAAAUUCGUGGUUACUUUAUUGAAAUUAGUUCACAGGGAUGUUAAUUCAGUUGUCAGUAUAUGUCGAUACGACUAAUAAAUGAUCAAUUUGAAUGUUUAUCGUUUGUUAGUAAUGUUAGCUCGAGCGCUGUCAGCUUGACUGAGCUCGUCGCGCAGGUGACGAGCAGGUCAGUUAAUGGAAAUCUUUUAUUUGUCUUUAUAUCUUCUAUAUAAUCGUGUUAUGCUUGUUUUUAAAUGUAUUUUAAAUUGUUUAGUUAAUUAUAAUGCAAGUUUACUCCAAGUAUUGUAGUGUGGGCUUUUUUCAGCUUACGGCUAGCCUGAUUGAGCUCGUGGCACAGCUGUGAGCUAGCAGUUAACAUCCUUUUCUUGGUGUGUCUUGAUGUUUUCUAUUGGCUAAAGACAAUAAAAGCAUAGAGAUAUAUAAAGCAAAGACAACUAUAAGAUAAUCCUUCAGGAGCCAGUAAAACAUAUACAGUUACAGCGGUAAACAUACUUGUUAUGGGUGCAAAUAAGGAGACUUAGACAUGUUUCUGUGAAACUGACAAUCUCAGGUAGGAGCUGCUGAUUUGUGGUUGGCAGUAUGGAUCACGGUCUGCGACUCAUGAGGAGCUGGUCUGGACUGGAGACAUGAAGAGGUUGUCAACAGAGGUCUGAAGCUAAUACCUGCCACGGUCUGAUUGGUAUUUCAUGAGGAAUCAUGGGUUCCUUGGUAUUUGAAUUAUGUUGAACCAGGCAAGUACUCCAUCUUUCGAUCAUGUGUUCUGUCUGCUUACACAUUCCUAGCCAGAAUAACAUUUCGUGCUCUUAGCUUAGACUUCUCAGCGUGUGCGCAUAUCUCAGGUCAGAUAUGACUAUUUUCUAAUCUUCACUGGUCAAUGAAAGUUUGUCUUAAAAGUCAAUAAUGUAUGUGGGAAAUUGUCUCCUCUUUGCAGGCCAUCCAUCCAAGAUCAUCUAUCUGAGCUGCUGAAAACUGCCUCGGUACGGAUCUGUUGGAGCUUUGUGUCACUGACUGUAUUUCUGCAAAUUCCUGUUUUGUGUCACAUUGCUUAUGCAAGACUGAAUCCAUAAAGGUGAUGGUCUGUGGAGACUGUGGGCAAUUCCUUAUGCUGUCAUUUAAAUAUGAGCAGGAGUAAUGACGGUUUAAAUGGACGCAACUAAUAUUAUGUCAGAGUCCGCUGCUGAUGCUGUAACCAUAAUGCAACCAGGACAACACACCUGGAGUGACCGAGAGCAGGAUGAAGAAGGAAUCGGAUGAGAAAAUGUCAACUGGUGCCCAUGAGGAGACAUAUUGUUCUUGGACCUGCUUUUUAUGUUUAGUAAUAAGUGGUUUUAUGUGGUUAAAUAUAAGUAAUUGAAUAUUAAUAUUUAAUAUUUUAAUAUUCACUCCAAAAUGGUCUAGUAUUGUCACUUAACUUAUGCUGCUUGACUUCUCAGCAUAAAGAUGAUUAUUAAGUUAAUAUUAAAUAUUUCAAAUUUAGAAAUAGGCUACCCCAUGCCAUCUAAUAAAGAAGUGGGUACUCCGUGCGUGUCGUGUACCCAGCACUACACCAUAUGGCAUCAUUGAUGUCUGUUGUAAGUACACUCUAAGAAAGGAUGUGUUAAUUUUAACACAUUGUUUUGUGUUAAACUAUUUAACACAUUAUGUGUUAUUUUAACACAUUGUGUGUCAUUUCGUGUAGAUUGUGAGCUCAAAUAAAUGAAAUGGACAACACAAGAUGUGUUAAAACAGCACAAAGUGUGAUAUUCCAAAAAUAACACAGAGAUGUGUUCAGUUAAGGACAACACACUAGAUGUGUUGUCCUUAACUAGACACAAGAUGUGUUAAUUUAAGAGUGUAGAUAUAUAACCU